GGAUAUAUCUCAGUUUGUAGAGUGCUUGCCUUGCAUGCAGAAGGCUCUGGGUUCAAUCCCCAGCACCA
rnacentral:tRNA from 1 species